UAAACUACUAUUUCCUAUACUUUUCCUAAAAUAAGUUGUCCUAAUAGUCCUAAAAUCUUUAGGAUUUCCUAUAUCAGUUGGAGGGUGCAGCUAUAGUGGUCCUAGUCCUAAGCAUUCAAAAGAAAAGGGAAUAAGAUUCAUAGAGGAUUAUGAAAAUUUGGGAAGAUAUUGAAAAUCUUUAUUAGCUAUAAGUGGAGAAAAUCUUGUAUUUAUUAAGGACAUGAUUAGAAGUAAAAAUUUCCUAAUGAUGGGGUGUGGAAGGAGUGGUUUGGUUAUGUUAAGAAUUAUGUUGGAAACUUAUAUGUUUGCAAAUCAGAGGAGAGAAUUGUAAAUAAAAACUUGUAUAUUUCCAUCAUUAAAAUAAAUGUUUACAUCCACAUGCAUGUAAACUAUGAUAUAUAUGAAGUAUUCAUUUUGAGAAGUUUGGAGAGAAUUAGAAACAAGGAUUUAAAUUGUGAUCAUGGGUAACUGAAAUAGGCCUAUGAUGGGCCGUAAUGUAACGGUAACAA
rnacentral:misc_RNA from 1 species